rnacentral:rRNA from 1 species
GUGGGGAAUUUUCCGCAAUGGGGGCAACCCUGACGGAGCAAGACCGCGUGGGGGAGGAAGGUCUGUGGAUUGUAAACCCCUUUUGACUGGGAAGAACACAAUGACGGUACCAGUCGAAUCAGCCUCGGCUAACUCCGUGCCAGCAGCCGCGGUAAUACGGAGGAGGCAAGCGUUAUCCGGAUUUAUUGGGCGUAAAGCGUCCGCAGGUGGUUGGUCAAGUCUGCUGUCAAAGCGCGAAGCUUAACUUCGUAAGGGCAGUGGAAACUGAUGAACUUGAGGGUGAUAGGGGCAGAGGGAAUUCCUAGUGUAGCGGUGAAAUGCGUAGAGAUUAGGAAGAACACCGGUGGCGAAAGCGCUCUGCUGGGUCACACCUGACACUGAGGGACGAAAGCUAGGGGAGCGAAAGGGAUUAGAAACCCUUGUAGUCC